rnacentral:rRNA from 1 species
CCAGACUCCUACGGGAGGCAGCAGUGGGGAAUAUUGGGCAAUGGGCGCAAGCCUGACCCAGCAACGCCGCGUGAAGGAAGAAGGCUUUCGGGUUGUAAACUUCUUUUAAGAGGGAAGAGAAGAAGACGGUACCUCUUGAAUAAGCCACGGCUAACUACGUGCCAGCAGCCGCGGUAAUACGUAGGUGGCAAGCGUUAUCCGGAUUUAUUGGGUGUAAAGGGCGUGUAGGCGGGAGCGCAAGUCAGAUGUGAAAACUCAGGGCUCAACCCUGAGCCUGCAUUUGAAACUGUGUUUCUUGAGUGCUGGAGAGGCAAUCGGAAUUCCGUGUGUAGCGGUGAAAUGCGUAGAUAUACGGAGGAACACCGGUGGCGAAGGCGGCCUGCUGGACUGCGACUGACGUUGAGGCCCGAAAGCGUGGGGAGCAAACAGGAUUAGAUACCCGAGUA